rnacentral:rRNA from 1 species
GAUGAACGCUGGCGGCGUGCCUAAUACAUGCAAGUCGAGCGAAUGGAUUAAGAGCUUGCUCUUAUGAAGUUAGCGGCGGACGGGUGAGUAACACGUGGGUAACCUGCCCAUAAGACUGGGAUAACUCCGGGAAACCGGGGCUAAUACCGGAUACCAUUUUGAACCGCACGGUUCGAAAUUGAAAGGCGGCUUCGGCUGUCACUUAUGGAUGGACCCGCGUCGCAUUAGCUGGUGGGUGAGGUAACGGCUCACCAAGGCAACGAUGCGUAGCCGACCUGAGAGGGUGAUCGGCCACACUGGGACUGAGACACGGCCCAGACUCCUACGGGAGGCAGCAGUAGGGAAUCUUCCGCAAUGGACGAAAGUCUGACGGAGCAGCGCCGCGUGAGUGAUGAAGGCUUUCGGGUCGUAAAACUCUGUUGUUAGGGAAGAACAAGUGCUAGUUGAAUAAGCUGGCACCUUGACGGUACCUAACCAGAAAGCCACGGCUAACUACGUGCCAGCCGCCGCCGUAA